CCUACGGGAGGCAGCAGUGGGGAAUGUUGCACAAUGGGGGAAACCCUGAUGCAGCGACGCCGCGUGAGUGAAGAAGUAAUUCUUUAUUUAAAGCUCUAUCAGCAGGGGAGCAAAUGACGGUACCUGUGUAAGAAGCCCCGGCUAACUACGUGCCAGCAGCCGCGGUAAUACGUAGGGGGCAAGCGUUAUCCGGAUUGACUGGGUGUAAAGGGAGCGUAGACGGGAGUGCAGGUCUGGAGUGAAAGGGGGGGGCUCAACCCCCGGACUGCUCUGGAAACUGUACGGCUGGAGUGCAGGAGAGGUAAGUGGAAUUCGUAGGGUAGCGGUGAAAUGCGUAGAUAUUAGGAGGAACACCAGUGGCGAAGGCGGCUUACUGGACUGUAACUGACGUUGAGGCUCGAAAGCGUGGGGAGCAAACAGGAUUAGAUACCCGAGUAGUC
rnacentral:rRNA from 1 species